GAUGAACGCUGGCGGCGUGCCUAAUACAUGCAAGUCGAGCGAACAGACGAGGAGCUUGCUCCUCUGUCGUUAGCCGCGGACGGGUGAGUAACACGUGUAUAACCUACCUAUAAGACGGGUAUAACUUCGGGAAACCGGAGCUAAUACCGGAUAAUAUAUUGAACCGCAUGGUUCAAUAGUGAAAGACGGUUUUGCUGUCACUUAUAGAUGCAUCCGGGCCGCAUUAGCUAGUUGGUAAGGUAACGGCUUACCAAGGCGACCAUGCGUAGCCGACCUGAGAGGGUGGUCGCCCACACUGGAACUGAGCCACGGUCCAGACUCCUACGGGAGGCAGCAGUAGGCAAUCUUCCGCAAUGGGCGAAAGCCUGACGGAGCAACGCCGCGUGAGUGAUGAAGGUCUUCGGAUCGUAAAGCUCUGUUAUUAGGGAAGAACAAAUGUGUAAGUAACUAUGCCCGUCUUGACGGUACCUAAUCAGAAAGCCACGGCUAACUACGUG
rnacentral:rRNA from 1 species